AGGCGGAGGAGGAAGAGCUGCUGGAAAUGCCUGCGUGAGCAUCGAUCAUUCUUAAAGAAAGCACAAAAGAAAAUGAGAUGCAAUGCAGUGGACAGAUCAAGAUUACAUAAAACUGGCCAAAGUUUAUUGACCAUAAUAAAACUUGUUAACAAAGGAGACCAGAUCUGAAGCAGCUUAUACUUCAAAUGAAAUCCUCCUUUCUAAGGCAGCACUUAAAUGAGUAGUUUUUUAUGCUUCAUCCUCAGACAGCAGUUGAGGUACUUCCAUGGAAUGUAAGUUCACUCUCUUCUCCAUAUUAAGUGUAAAUGUGUAACUCAGGCAUUGAAUAAGCAACACUUUGAAUUCUUUUUACUUCAGAAAAUUCUGAAGUUUGAUCUCAUUCAUAAACUAUUAAAUUCAUCCUGGUUUGGAGAACUCUUUAUAGAGAUAAAAGUGGAGCUUAAUUGAAGCUAUCAAUUAGCUGCUGGUUUUCAAGUCCAAUACCUUUUACUAGAUCCAAGGAAGACACCCUCAGUUUAAAUAAACAUUUCGAAGAGGAUCAGUACAUGCCCCUAAUAAAAAACCAAGCAUAGCUUUUUACAACUUUCUUCUAUUACUGAUUUUUCCCCCCUUCGAAAGCUGCAGCUCCACAGGCACAAUGGAUUUGUGUGCACAAGAGAGCUUUCUUUCCCUGCCAAUCCCCACCAUGUGCACUCUGUCAGCUCCAGAGGGUUGGGAGAACCUGUUCAGCACACUUGGCAGCAUGUGUGUGCAUGCACCGAAGAAAUAGAAGUCUUGUUGAAUCAGCAGAACCCCACUGGCACAGCAUUAGAUGUAACCCACUCUAUGUGUAUUCCUCCUUUCUCCAAGCUGCUCAGUAUUAAGCCACCAAUAAACCCACUAUCCAACCUGACAUAGUUUUUGUUGUUUUUCGUGUGGGAAAUUGCAGUCACACAGAACUAUGUCCAAGUGCUAGUUAGUGUAUGAAGGGGCGAAGACAACAGGGUUGAUUCCUAGGCUCAGCUAGGUCACACACCCUCUUCUCUGAUGAGAAAGGAAGCGAAGCGUACUCUUCUUGUUCUCUCGCUACACCACAUAACUGGCAAGCGCCGAUCUUAAAGCAUGUUUGAAACUAUCUUUCUGUAUUUUCUACCCAGGAGUAUUCUGCCUGUGCUCUCUCUGCAGCUGCUUGGACAAAUACAUGAAUGUGAUCUUUGGAACAUUUUGUAAGUAAAGUAUUUUUAAACUUACUUAACUGUGUGUGGUCUAUUUAUUGCAAGAGGGGUACAGAGGGUCUAACAACUUAUAUUCCUAAUGCUAUACUGCUGCUUGACUUUUGUGAAUUUAAACUCUGUUCUUGGGGGGCUCUCUCCUGCUGGACAGCGAGUUUAGCCCCAUGUUUUGAAUCUAGGCACCCAACCAAUUCUUUUAUUUAUCCCACCCGCAUGGGUCACAGGAAUUCUUAUUUUCCUCUUACAUUUUAAAUAAGAAUUUGCAAUUGAGUAUGGAAGCCAACAUAUAACAAAAAGUCUUGUGGCACCUUAAAGGUGAACAGAUUUAUCACAACAUAAGCUUUUAUAGACCACAGCCCACUUCAUCAGAUGCAUGAAAGAUUAUUCUCAGUUGGUAGAUAAAUGUGUAACUUAAGUGUCACCUCCCAUAGCCCAAGGAACAGUACUCCAGAUUUUUCCAUGGCCAAUUCCAGAUACUAGGUUGUAUCCAAUUCAGGACAAAGCUUUCCUGAGACAGAAUACACUCUGGCAAAGCCUAAAAUGUGGGGCUAGGAACUUUUGCCCAAUAUUUCCAACUCCUGCCCAUUUACCUUGCACAACAUUGCAUUGGAUAUAAUCCAGCAUGUAUUGUGCAAAGUAAGAGGCAAGUUGUGCUUGUGUUCUUCAA